AUUGAACGCUGGCGGCAGGCCUAACACAUGCAAGUCGAGCGAGUGGCGGACGGGUGAGUAAUGUCUGGGGAACUGCCCGAUGGAGGGGGAUAACUACUGGAAACGGUGGCUAAUACCGCAUACUAUCGGAUGUGCCCAGAUGGGAUUAGCUAGUAGGUGGGGUAAGGGCUCACCUAGGCGACGAUCCCUAGCUGGUCUGAGAGGAUGACCAGCCACACUGGGACUGAGACACGGUCCAGACUCCUACGGGAGGCAGCAGUGGGGAAUAUUGCACAAUGGGCGCAAGCCUGAUGCAGCCAUGCCGCGUGUAUGAAGAAGGCCUUAGGGUUGUAAAGUACUUUCAGCGGGGAGGCGUUACCCGCAGAAGAAGCACCGGCUAACUCCGUGCCAGCAGCCGCGGUAAUUC
rnacentral:rRNA from 1 species